GUUUAUGUGCCAACUCUUGCUUAUGAAGUAGUGAAAGGAAUUGAUACUGGUGUAAAACCUAUCCUUAAUUUCAAGGGAUAUUUGGUGGGAAAUGGAGUUACAGAUGAGAAGUUCGAUGGCAAUGCUCUUGUUCCAUUUGCUCAUGGCAUGGGCCUUAUUUCAGAUGACCUAUUUGAGGAGGUAAGCAAUGCAUGCAAGGGAAAUUUCUACCAACCACUUGGUGAAAAUUGUGAGAGCAAGCUUGCCAAGGUUGAUGCGGACAUUUCAGGUUUAAAUAUUUAUGACAUUCUAGAACCAUGCUAUUAUGACACAGACACAAGGGAGGUUACAGAUAUUAAAAUAAGGUUACCUUCUAGCUUUCUCCAAUUAGGUGAGACAGAUAGGCCUCUUCCUGUGAGAAAAAGGAUGCUUGGUCGUGCCUGGCCUUUUAGAGCUCCUGUAAGAGAAGG
rnacentral:misc_RNA from 1 species